GGGGUUUUAGUCAGAUGGGCUAGUGUAAUCAUGCUGAGUGAACUCAUUGCUCAUUGUGACUAAGUAAGAUCAGUUAGAACAACUCCAACUCACAAAAAUACUCAUGAACUCAAAAUAUUUCGUUCAAUUAACUGCAAAAAAUGCGUCGCAAUCCGCAUUUUACAUAACACGCAUGCGCACUAAUGUUGCGCCAGGGUCACAUGACACACAAAGCCCGAUGAAGAAAUUGCCCGCCAUUUCGUCAAAAUUGGAACCACAAUGCUGUUAACAAGCAAGUACCUGGACACAGUUUAUUAGGAAACAUAGUUAAUUAAUAAACUAUUCUGUCUUACACGGCCAGUUACCAUAACCUUUUAUCCAUAUUUUAUAUUUAGUUCGUUGUGAUUAUUGGACAUAGAUUAGCAUCUUAGGUAGCUCUGGCUAGCCGUUGGUUGGAUUUUUUAUGAUGAUGUGAUAAUUUGGCUAACUUUUAACAUGCCGCGUUUUAUUUUUAGUAUAAGGUUAAGGGUAAGUGGAUACGCGUAUAUUAUAGCAAACUGAUCUCGCUUCAAGCGAAAAUCCGUUUCAAUCACUGGAGUGUUUUAACGUAAACUGCGUUCAAUCAUGCAUGUAUGUGUAGCAGAGAAGUUGUUAAAUCUUCAAUAUUUAUAUAGCUCAUAAAUCAUUUCACCAAUAACGGGAUAACUAUAAGGAAGAGAUUAUUUAACAAUCUUGUUUUGUUGAAGAUCCUAUUCAAUGUACGUAGGUUGUGCUUUUUUUUGUUCGCAUUAUUGGAAGCUCUUGUGAAUUUUGUUUUUUUGUCGCCAUGCUUACUUAAAACGGCAAGUUUUACCCUCUGAGGAGAGUGCCUUCUUGAAGAUUUCAUUCAGCACAAAGUACGGUAGCCUGAAAAGAGAAGACCGUCUACAAAGGCAAGGGCAAUAUCGUCAAAGAAUUCACCAGGCUGAUGUCUAUGGACCUCACUUUGUUCUAUGAGCGUUUGGACAGUCACCUGCUCAGACUUCUUCAGUUGUUGAGGUCAAAGCGCUUUGAGGGGAGUAAAGAAAUGACAUCCUUACUGGAGAGCCUUGACAAGGAUGUAUCAAACCAAAAGAAGAGGGCAACAGCUUUGCAUGGUCUACCGUGGUACAUGAAGGAAAAUCCAUCUGCAUUCAUGAAGAUGUGUGAGCCCACGGAUCCUGAGGAGGAUGUCAUCAGGGGAAUGCUCACUGGAAUACUCUUAGUUGCUGAGGAUGUGAAGGAGCCCCUUCCAGCUUCCUACAAUGAUAUUGCCAUUGUGGUUGAAGAAAUUAUUGUCAUUCGCCACUUGCGAGAUGUACCCAGUGCUUUUGUCAAUCUGAUGGGACUGCUGUACAUUCUGAACAUUGACUAUCCAAAAGACUUGAAGUACACUUUUGAAGUAAUUCAACGACUAUUCAUGGGAAUAGGGCUGGACGCAUGCACUGCCAGAGUCCACUCUCUGAAGAAUAAAUU